CACCUACCAAGGAGUUUCUUAAUCUAGUCAAAUUGACUAUCAAGAUUAACCAUCACAAGGAAAAAGGGCCAAAGGUAGAUAUACUGAGAGAAAAUCCAAAGUUCUUAAAGAUGAAAAUAUAGUGUGAGAAAAGUAAUUAGAAGUUAAAUCAUCAGAGUAUGGAAGAACAAAGCCAAAGAAGAAAUGAGCAGUGGGCAGAAAGAAGUCAAAAGGUGAAGACUAAUGGAUAGAUCAUUUCAACCUGACACCUGUUG
ensembl:lncRNA